rnacentral:rRNA from 1 species
AGCGUACACGGUGGAUGCCCUGGCAGUCAGAGGCGAUGAAGGACGUGCUAAUCUGCGAAAAGCGUCGGUAAGGUGAUAUGAACCGUUAUAACCGGCGAUGUCCGAAUGGGGAAACCCAGUGUGUUUCGACACACUAUCAUUAACUGAAUCCAUAGGUUAAUGAGGCGAACCGGGGGAACUGAAACAUCUAAGUACCCCGAGGAAAAGAAAUCAACCGAGAUUCCCCCAGUAGCGGCGAGCGAACGGGGAGGAGCCCAGAGCCUGAAUCAGUGUGUGUGUUAGUGGAAGCGUCUGGAAAGGCGCGCGAUACAGGGUGACAGCCCCGUACACAAAAAUGCACAUGCUGUGAGCUCGAUGAGUAGGGCGGGACACGUGGUAUCCUGUCUGAAUAUGGGGGGACCAUCCUCCAAGGCUAAAUACUCCUGACUGACCGAUAGUGAACCAGUACCGUGAGGGAAAGGCGAAAAGAACCCCGGCGAGGGGAGUGAAAAAGAACCUGAAACCGUGUACGUACAAGCAGUGGGAGCCCUGAUUUAUCAGGGUGACUGCGUACCUUUUGUAUAAUGGGUCAGCGACUUAUAUUCUGUAGCAAGGUUAACCGAAUAGGGGAGCCGGAGGGAAACCGAGUCUUAACUGGGCGUUAAGUUGCAGGGUAUAGACCCGAAACCCGGUGAUCUAGCCAUGGGCAGGUUGAAGGUUGGGUAACACUAACUGGAGGACCGAACCGACUAAUGUUGAAAAAUUAGCGGAUGACUUGUGGCUGGGGGUGAAAGGCCAAUCAAACCGGGAGAUAGCUGGUUCUCCCCGAAAGCUAUUUAGGUAGCGCCUCGUGAAUUCAUCUCCGGGGGUAGAGCACUGUUUCGGCAAGGGGGUCAUCCCGACUUACCAACCCGAUGCAAACUGCGAAUACCGGAGAAUGUUAUCACGGGAGACACACGGCGGGUGCUAACGUCCGUCGUGAAGAGGGAAACAACCCAGACCGCCAGCUAAGGUCCCAAAGUCAUGGUUAAGUGGGAAACGAUGUGGGAAGGCCCAGACAGCCAGGAUGUUGGCUUAGAAGCAGCCAUCAUUUAAAGAAAGCGUAAUAGCUCACUGGUCGAGUCGGCCUGCGCGGAAGAUGUAACGGGGCUAAACCAUGCACCGAAGCUGCGGCAGCGACACUGUGUGUUGUUGGGUAGGGGAGCGUUCUGUAAGCCUGUGAAGGUGUGCUGUGAGGCAUGCUGGAGGUAUCAGAAGUGCGAAUGCUGACAUAAGUAACGAUAAAGCGGGUGAAAAGCCCGCUCGCCGGAAGACCAAGGGUUCCUGUCCAACGUUAAUCGGGGCAGGGUGAGUCGACCCCUAAGGCGAGGCCGAAAGGCGUAGUCGAUGGGAAACAGGUUAAUAUUCCUGUACUUGGUGUUACUGCGAAGGGGGGACGGAGAAGGCUAUGUUGGCCGGGCGACGGUUGUCCCGGUUUAAGCGUGUAGGCUGGUUUUCCAGGCAAAUCCGGAGAAUCAAGGCUGAGGCGUGAUGACGAGGCACUACGGUGCUGAAGCAACAAAUGCCCUGCUUCCAGGAAAAGCCUCUAAGCAUCAGGUAACAUCAAAUCGUACCCCAAACCGACACAGGUGGUCAGGUAGAGAAUACCAAGGCGCUUGAGAGAACUCGGGUGAAGGAACUAGGCAAAAUGGUGCCGUAACUUCGGGAGAAGGCACGCUGAUAUGUAGGUGAAGCGACUUGCUCGUGGAGCUGAAAUCAGUCGAAGAUACCAGCUGGCUGCAACUGUUUAUUAAAAACACAGCACUGUGCAAACACGAAAGUGGACGUAUACGGUGUGACGCCUGCCCGGUGCCGGAAGGUUAAUUGAUGGGGUCAGCGCAAGCGAAGCUCUUGAUCGAAGCCCCGGUAAACGGCGGCCGUAACUAUAACGGUCCUAAGGUAGCGAAAUUCCUUGUCGGGUAAGUUCCGACCUGCACGAAUGGCGUAAUGAUGGCCAGGCUGUCUCCACCCGAGACUCAGUGAAAUUGAACUCGCUGUGAAGAUGCAGUGUACCCGCGGCAAGACGGAAAGACCCCGUGAACCUUUACUAUAGCUUGACACUGAACACUGGUCCUUGAUGUGUAGGAUAGGUGGGAGGCUUUGAAGUGUGGACGCCAGUCUGCAUGGAGCCGUCCUUGAAAUACCACCCUUUAAUGGCUGGUGUUCUAACGUGGGCCCGUAAUCCGGGUUGCGGACAGUGUCUGGUGGGUAGUUUGACUGGGGCGGUCUCCUCCUAAAGAGUAACGGAGGAGCACGAAGGUUGGCUAAUCCUGGUCGGACAUCAGGAGGUUAGUGCAAUGGCAUAAGCCAGCUUGACUGCGAGCGUGACGGCGCGAGCAGGUGCGAAAGCAGGUCAUAGUGAUCCGGUGGUUCUGAAUGGAAGGGCCAUCGCUCAACGGAUAAAAGGUACUCCGGGGAUAACAGGCUGAUACCGCCCAAGAGUUCAUAUCGACGGCGGUGUUUGGCACCUCGAUGUCGGCUCAUCACAUCCUGGGGCUGAAGUAGGUCCCAAGGGUAUGGCUGUUCGCCAUUUAAAGUGGUACGCGAGCUGGGUUUAGAACGUCGUGAGACAGUUCGGUCCCUAUCUGCCGUGGGCGCUGGAGAACUGAGGGGGGCUGCUCCUAGUACGAGAGGACCGGAGUGGACGCAUCACUGGUGUUCGGGUUGUCAUGCCAAUGGCACUGCCCGGUAGCUAAAUGCGGAAGAGAUAAGUGCUGAAAGCAUCUAAGCACGAAACUUGCCCCGAGAUGAGUUCU